rnacentral:ncRNA from 1 species
CAUAAUUAUAAUUAUUGGUCCAUUUAUUUUAUAACUUAUUUAAGAGUUUAGAGUUUUAUCCUGGCUUUAUUAUUUAUUUUUACAUGAAAAUAUAUGUUUUGAUUUUAUCUUGAUGUGGUUUUAUUAACAAUAUUUUAUAUUAUUAAUUGAUGAAAUUUUGAUUUAGUUAAUGUUAUUUAUUACUGAUAAAGUUUGUGCCAGCAGUCGCGGUUAGACAUUGAGUAUUAAUAAAUAUUUUUGGUUUAUUAGGUAAAUUUAUUUUUAUUAUUUUUUAUUUAUUAUAUGGUGAAAUAUUUAAUUUAUUUGAAUUCUUAUUAUUUAUUGUUCUAUAAAAUCAUUUAAUUAAACUAGGAUUAGAUACCCUAUUAUUGUUGAUAUAAAAUUUUUACUUGGGUAGUAUUAGUUAUGAUCUUGAAACUUAAAGGAUUUGGCGGUAUUUUAAGCUAUUUAGAGGAAUCUGUUUUUUAAUUGAUAUUCCACAUUGUACCUUACUUAUAUUGAUAUUUGUAUAUCGCCGUUAUGAAGUCUUUAUAAGAAUUAAGAUUUCUUUAUUUUUUAUUUUAGGUUAUUUCAGGUCAGGGUGCAGUUUAUAUAAGUUAAAAUGGAUUACAUUUUUUUAUAUAAUUUUUAGAUGAUUUAUUGUAAUAUAUAUUUGAAAUUGGAUUUAAUAGUAAUUUUAUUUAGAUUGUUAAAAUGAAUAUUAGCUCUGAAAUAUGUACAUAUCGCCCGUCACUCUCAUUUAUUUAGAUGAGAUAAGUCGUAACAUAGUAGGUGUACCGGAAGGUGUAGCUAGAAUGUC